UGUGGUAAUCUCCUAAUCCAAACUGUGAUAUGAAAGGUGGAUGCAGUCAAGCGACCUGGCUUAAAUGUCCUUCUUUAAUCUGAGACUGACAUUAAAAGGAGAGAAAUAAAGGAAAAAGAAAGUGAAGAGUUUAGGUCACAGGGCAGGGCAGGACAUGCGCUUGUCAGGGAUGGAUGGAUGAAGGACAACCAUGACUUCCUGUCGGAGGUGACCAGCUACAGUGAUGUCACAAGGAGCGUCUGGACCUAUCAGGAGAGCCUAACUCAUACUCUGAGCCCUGACUGGAAACUCAAUAUCUGUGACUCUGACACGGUACACAGCAGUCAGGAGGACCAGUGGGACUUCCUGACAGACCCAGGGAGGAGUGGCUCUAGCAGCCCAGCAGGGUGCUGUGUGACGGGGCCAGAGAUGACCCGGGUG
rnacentral:lncRNA from 1 species